GCUUUUAAAUUUUUAGUUCUAUUUAUGUUUAUAUCUUUUCUUACGCGUAAAUCAAUUCAUUAGUCAAUCUAAGAGAAAGAUUUGAUUGGGGAUAAGAUUACUAUUCGCUCGUAUUACUUAUAAAUAUACGAAGAAGGAAAUUGGUGAUCGAUCGGAGGGAAAAUGGUGAGAGAGACCGAAUAUUACGACGUGCUUGGGGUCAGCCCCACCGCCACCGAGGCGGAGAUCAAGAAGGCUUAUUACAUCAAGGCCCGACAGGUUCAUCCAGAUAAGAAUCCCAAUGAUCCUCUUGCUGCACAAAA
rnacentral:misc_RNA from 1 species